rnacentral:rRNA from 1 species
UACGGGGGGGGGCAAGCGUUGUUCGGAAUUACUGGGCGUAAAGGGCUUGUAGGUGGCCAACUAAGUCAGACGUGAAAUCCCUCAGCUUAACUGGGGAACUGCUUCUGAUACUGGAUGGCUUGAGUUUGGGAGAGGGAUGCGGAAUUCCAGGUGUAGCGGUGAAAUGCGUAGAUAUCUGGAGGAACACCGGUGGCGAAGGCGGCAUCCUGGACCAACACUGACACUGAAAAGCGAAAGCCAGGGGAGCAAACGGG